UUUGGAAAGCGCUCGCUGUGAAUGAACCAAAAUUAUGAUGUUGAACAAUACGGCGCCGAACAAAACUCGCUGAAGUCGAACUUUGGCGCAAUGCAUAGGCCGUAAAAUUGUGGAUGUAUGAAAUUGCAGUGGAGUUGGCGACGUUCCUGCGCUUGCUUGCUUGGCACAGGUCAUUUUGUAUAAACGUCAGUGUUUAAGAAAAACCACCUGCGGAACUGAGCACUACCACUUUGCUACGAAUAUUGUUACAGGAUUUAAAGGAGGAAAUUAUAAAGUCUGGCCUGUUCUAGAAAUUAGAGGACAGAUUGACGAACAAACCAACCCUGCCGAUUGGAAUUCGGGGCAAGAACGAAAUCUUCAUCGCGGAUUUUACACAGGAAUACAGUCAAGCUGGAGGAUUCAUAUAUCAUGGGGGACAUGGGAGGAGCUCCCGACCAUGACAAGUGUCAUGUGAGUAUAUUUUCAACUUU